rnacentral:rRNA from 1 species
GUUGUAAAGCCCUUUUCAGGGGAGCGAGAAAGGACGGUACCCUUGGAAUAAGCGUCGGCUAACUACGUGCCAGCAGCCGCGGUAAGACGUAGGACGCAAGCGUUAUCCGGAUUUACUGGGCGUAAAGCGCCUGUAGGCGGUCAAGUAAGUCGGAUGUGAAAGCCCCGUGCUCAACGCGGGGAAGCCAUUCGAUACUGCGUGACUAGAGAACGGCAGAGGGAAACGGAAUUUCUGGUGUAGCGGUAAAAUGCGCAGAGAUCAGAAAGAACACCGAUGGCGAAGGCAGUUUCCUAGGCCGCAUCUGACGCUGAGAGGCGGAAGCUAGGGGAGCAAACAGGAUUAGAGACCCUGGUAGUCCUAGCUGUAAACGAUGGAUGCUAGGUGUGGGCCGGAAAGGUCCGUGCCGUAGUUAACGCGAUAAGCAUCCCGCCUGGGGAGUACGGCCGCAAGGCUAAAACUCAAACGAAUUGACGGGGACCCGCACAAGCAGCGGAGCGUGUGGUUUAAUUCGAUGCUACACGCAGAACCUUACCUGGGCUUGACAUGUAGGUGGUAGUGAAGUGAAAGCGGAGCGACCCUUCGGGGAGCCUACACAGGUGCUGCAUGGCUGUCGUCAGCUCGUGCCGUGAGGUGUC